rnacentral:rRNA from 1 species
CAGUAGCCGCGGGAAAACGGAGGGUGCAAGCGUUAAUCGGAAUUACUGGGCGUAAAGCGCACGCAGGCGGUCUGACAAGUCAGAUGUGAAAUCCCCGGGCUUAACCUGGGAACUGCAUUUGAAACUGUCAGGCUGGAGUCUUGUAGAGGGGGGUGGAAUUCCAGGUGUAGCGGUGAAAUGCGUAGAGAUCUGGAGGAAUACCGGUGGCGAAGGCGGCCCCCUGGACAAAGACUGACGCUCAGGUGCGAAAGCGUGGGGAGCAAACAGGAUUAGAUAUCCGUGUAGUCCCUGUCUCUUAUAC